UACAGAGGUCCCAAGCGUUGUUCGGAUUCAUUGGGCGUAAAGGGUGCGUAGGUGGCGUCGUAAGUCGGGUGUGAAAUCUCGGGGCUUAACUCCGAAACUGCAUUCGAUACUGCGGUGCUUGAGGACUGGAGAGGAGACUGGAAUUUACGGUGUAGCAGUGAAAUGCGUAGAGAUCGUAAGGAAGACCAGUGGCGAAGGCGGGUCUCUGGACAGUUCCUGGACACUGAGGCACGAAGGCCAGGGGAGCAAACGGG
rnacentral:rRNA from 1 species